CAUUUUUGCAAUGGUUGGAAUGCCAUAGUGAACCAACCAGGGUUCUAUGACUCUGGUAAGAGGGUCAACCAACUUGAAAAAAUACUGAUUGAGCUCAAUUUAGGUUCCGUCAUUUUCUUGAUGAAUCCUUCCCGUAAUUCUCCUGAGAGUCGGGGGGUAACCGCAAACAAGCAACACUGGCGUUUCCCCCUUCCUACAUUUCCAUCUUCCGUUGAUGGAUACCGUUGUUGUUUGCGAGCAGUUGGUGUCUUUUUUUAAAGUUGCCGUUCAGUAUUCAGGACCCAUUCGGAUGUCAGUUUUCUUAAGGCAAGUUUAUAAGGUAUGAUUCAAUUGCUGGAAACUUGUUCGGUUUAAUAUUUUAUUUUAUUUUUCGGAUGUGGCUGUUCAAGGUAUU